GCCUGGUUAGUACUUGGAUGGGAGACCGCCUGGGAAUACUGGGU
ensembl:rRNA 5S_rRNA 5S ribosomal RNA